GGGGGCUAAUGCAGGAUAACAUGUUGAACCGCAUGGUUCUACAGUGAAAGGCGGCUUUGCUGUCACUUAUAGAUGGACCCGCGCCGUAUUAGCUAGUUGGUGAGGUAACGGCUCACCAAGGCAACGAUACGUAGCCGACCUAAGAGGGUGAUCGGCCACACUGGAACUGAGACACGGUCCAG
rnacentral:rRNA from 1 species